rnacentral:rRNA from 1 species
AUGCAUAUCCCGGCGGCCGCCGCCGUGCUCUGCUCAGCCACACUGCUGCUAACUGCCGUCCUCGCCACCCACGCCCAAAACACCACCACGCCGACGUUGCCGUCAUCGUCGACCUCCUGCGACCCAGCGAUGUCUGCGCAUCAAGUAGACAAGUACCCGUUCUGGCUCGGCGGCACGCACCCGCCGGUCGGCUACCGCGCCUUCCAGGUCAGGUGCGACUGCAACGGCACGGCCUCUCUCAAGAACUCCAUCUGGACGUACCAGAUCACGGAGAUCUCUUACGGCAACGACAACGGCACCUUCCCGGUCGCCAACACCGAUCUCUCCGACGGCAGCUGCGACAUCAAACUCAAAGUGAACGCCUCCUCCGACCUCGGCUACGCGCCCUUCGGCAUCAGCGCCACCAACCAGGAGCUCUUCUUCCUCUACAGCUGCACCGACCUUCAGGCGCAGCCGCUGCCGCUUGCUUGGGCGCCCGUUAACUGCACGAAUGCCAACACGUCCAUAUUCAACUCGUUCGCGUUGCUCUCCGGCGGGUACAAGCCCGACAACAAAUGGGAGCCGAUACCGGGGAGCUGCACCGUGUCGAUGAUGCCGGUGCUGGGGUACCCUGGGGCGACCGGGGCGGACUACCGGCGGCUGAUGAACAGCGGGUUUCUUGUCGAGUAUACGGCCGGCGACUGCAGGGUGUGCGAGGAGAGUGGAGGCUUUUGCCGGAUUAACACCACCUACGAUAUCUUCGAGUGCCGCUGCUCUGACGGCAUGUCUGACUUCAUCAUCUGUCGUAGCUCAGGUAGUGAGAGGAGAGGGAAGAAGAUUAUGCUAAUAGGUACUACAUCAGCUGCUGCAACCUUUCUCUGUGCAUGUCUUUAUGUGCUGAUAUGGCAUAGAAAAGGGAAAAGACUAUGGUUUCUCCUUUGCAAGAAGGCUAGCAGCAACACUGAGAAGAAUUACGAGGCAAUGAUAGUAUCAUAUGGAUCCCUAGCUCCAAAAAGAUACAUGUACUCAGAGGUAAUGAAGAUAACUUCUUAUCGUAAUGAUCAGCUUGGUAAAGGCGGCUAUGGUGUGGUUUUCAAAGGAAGACUACACGAUGAUCGUCUAGUUGCUGUGAAAUUUUUGCAUGACUGCAAAGGAAAUGGGGACGAGUUUGUGAAUGAGGUUAUGAGCAUUGGCAGGACCUCUCAUGUUAAUGUUGUUAGCUUAUUUGGGUUCUGUUUGGAGGGAUCAAAACGAGCUCUUAUAUAUGAGUACAUGCCCAAUGGUUCCUUGGACAAGUACAUUUACUCAGAGAACCCCAAAGAAAUUUUAGGAUGGGAGAGGCUCUAUACUAUAGCAAUCGGGAUUGCUCGUGGCCUCGAAUACUUUCACCAUAGCUGUAAUACACGCAUCGUCCACUUUGAUAUCAAGCCCCAAAAUAUCCUUCUAGAUAAAGAUUUUAGCCCAAAGAUUGCCGAUUUUGGUCUAGCUAAAUUGUGUCAUACAAAGGAGAGCAAGCUUUCAAUGAUUGGUGCUAGAGGAACAAUUGGGUUCAUCGCUCCAGAAGUUCACUCUCGAACAUUCGGAGUGGUUUCAACGAAGUCAGAUGUUUAUAGUUAUGGAAUGAUGCUUUUGGAAAUGGUUGGAGGCAGGAGAAAUGUAAAAUCAAUUGUUGCAAAAUCCAGCGAAAAGUAUUUUCCAGACUGGAUUUACGACCACUUUGCGCAAGAUGAUGGAUUACAAGCAUGUGAAGUCAUAGGAGAAAUUGAGGAAAACGCAAGAAAGAUGACCUUAAUUGGUUUGUGGUGCGUACAAAUACUGCCUACAUAUCGCCCUACCAUAACCAAAGUUCUAGAAAUGUUCGAGAGAAGCUCAGAUGACAUGGAUAUGCCACCGAAGCAAAACUUUUCUGGAUUGCUUGAAAGUUCAGCUCACAAUAUGGAUGUACAAAGUUCAAGUUCUACCAGAUCUGAGGAGAUCAGCCUUGUGAAUUCAAAAUUUGUACAACAAUCGCCAACUCUUUGA